GAUCCAGACACAAGACCCCCGACUCAUCGGCUGGCUUAGCCUUGGUGCACCACAGCGCAACGCGCUCCCUCGCAUGUGCCGAAGUAGGCACUCAGACCCACGCUAUGGCACUGUUGGCGGGAGCAAUCCGUCAAGAUUGCUGCGGUCUUACAACACAUUCGAACCCACAAGCCGACCCUUUUUAUCUAGAGCCCAGCGCCAUUAUCGACAGACCGAGCCCCUUCCAGCGCCGAAG